UACCAACCUGAGUCACAGACAUCACUUCU
rnacentral:piRNA from 1 species